AAAUAGACAGAGAGCAAGAGGAGUACUGUCAGCGGGAUUUUUAGAGAGAAAAUCGGCUGGUGAAAGAUUUUACGAUCCUGACAGGAAGGUAGCUUGUGAGUCAAUCAUUUGAACAAUUUUCAGUAGGGUGGUUCGAGUCGUGAUCGUUAUCUCACGUUGAAUGAAGAGGUAAUUGAUUUAUUUGAUCAAUUACAAAUUAGGUGGUACCGCGUAGUAUUUACGUCCUAAAA
rnacentral:ncRNA from 1 species